GAAAUAGAUGUACAGUAAACCCACACCCUAUACACCUCAGCCCAGGCCCUUUGCCUAGUCUGUAUUGUAAAUGGGGGGAACGUAG
rnacentral:snoRNA from 1 species